GCCUCUGUAGCUUAGUGGUGGAGCACACGCUUGGUAAGCGUGAGGUCGCGAGUUCAAUUCUCGCCAGAGGCU
rnacentral:tRNA from 1 species